ACGAAGGGGGCUAGCGUUAAUCGGAAUUACUGGGCGUAAAGCGUGCGUAGACGGCUAUCUAAGUCGGGUGUGAAAGCCCCGGGCUCAACCUGGGAAUUGCAUUCGAGACUGAAUAGCUAGGGUACGGUAGAGGGAAGUGGAGUUUCCGGUGCAGCGGUGAAAUGUGUAGAUAUCGGAAGGAACAUCAGUGGCGAAAGCGACCUCCUGGACCAAUACUGACGCUCAGGUGCGAAAGCGUGGGGAGCAAACAGGA
rnacentral:rRNA from 1 species